rnacentral:rRNA from 1 species
CAAACGACUCUCGGCAACGGAUAUCUCGGCUCACGCAUCCAUGAAUAACGUAGCAAAAUGCGAUACUUGGUGUGAAUUGCAGAAUCCCGUGAACCAUCUAGUUUUUGAACUCAAGUUGCGCCCGAAUCCAUUCGGCCGAGGGCACGUCUGCCUGGGCGUCACGC